UGUGGAUUGAACUGGUUUCUAUUCCUGCCGGAGGAGGAUGAGAGCCAAGGAGGUUUAACGAUCUAACUGCAAUUUGCAUAUAAAGCUAUGAGGCGAAGCAGGCAGACUUUCCAUUACCCAGCCGAUAACGGCUCCUUCCCGAGCAAAUGGCUUUCUGGAGGGAUCCAACAGCCCACGUGGGGGAUGCGGGCCGGGCUCCAGCAAGGCUGCGGCAGGGCCCUCUGCACACGCUGGGCCUGGCUUGGGCUGGCCUCUAGGACCGGCAGGGUGGCUCCUUCUGGAAGAGUGGAUAAAACACAAUCUGCCCCUCCCUCCCCAAGCGAGGCAGGGCUGUUCCUGCUGCCUGUGUGCUCUGUGGGUGCCCGAGCAGAGGGCUUGGGUGUCUGUCCUGGGUGGGCAUUGCCUUGGGGAAAUGGGUCUAAAGCUGGAACCUCUCUGAUGCUCUCCAAAUGAUGUGUGUGUGUGUGUGUGUGUGUGUUUGUGUGUGCGCGUACACACACGGGGCUGGACCCUGGAGGGCAGGUUGGGACUCAGAUCUCCCUGACUUCCUCUAGGACAAUUCCCAGGUCAGUAUGUCCUCAUUGUCAGCUUCACUGGCCCCAGAAGAGCUAUGGCAAGGUGUGUAGUGGACAGAUGGGCAUUAGCCUUGGGAGAGCUUCCCUUUCUACCUGGGUGUCUCUGCUGCACCCCAUGGUGCCAGGAAGAAAUGGUGCCAUUGGGUGCUGAGAGCAGGAAGUCCAGGGACAUUCUGGGCUUGGAAAAUGUGGGCGUGUCAUGUGCAGUGGACUCAGAGAGAACGUGUUGGUGGGACUUGGUCCACAGGUCUCUAGCCUAGUGGGCACUGGUACCCAGGAUGGAGUGUGGUCCUCAGUAACAGAAACAAUGGAGGGCCACGGACGGUCACAGCAGAAGGGCUGUGCCCCGGAGAAUGUGCCUGCACACCGACUUGAAGGAGAAGCUCCCAAGAGCUGCUGACACUAAGCUGUCCACCCCGAGCCCCAUGACCCCAACAAGAGAGGCCCAUGCCCUCCACCCAGGACUGUGAAGGCGACUUCUGUUGGAGAUAAAGGUUCCUGCAGGUAGAAUUAAGUAAAGAUCUUGAAGUGUGAUCAUCCUGGAGAGAGGGCAGGUCCCCAAUCCAACGACGGUGCAGCCGGCCUCCCACAGCUGUGGAUCCAGCAAACCACAGAUUGAAAAUGUGCUGGAAAAAAACUGCAGCCGCACUGAACAGGUUCAGACUCCUCUCUUGUCACUACUGCCCUCACGCACAGCGCAGCAGCUAUUCACGCGGCAUCUGCAUUGUGCUAAGUAAUCUGGAGAUGGUUUCAAGAACACGGCGGCGGUCCACAGGUUAUGUGCAGACCCUGCACCAUCGUGUGCAAGGAGCUAGGGCAUCUUGGGAUUUGGGUAUCCACGGGGGUCCUGGAGCCCACGUCCCAUCCCCUAGGAGAAGACAGGAGAAUAUGGAGUUGCAAAGGGGACAGCCCUGUGGCCAGGAGGCAGAGACUGGAGCAAUGCAGCCACCAGCCAGGGACACCUAUAGCUACCAGAAGCUGGAAGAGGUGGCGGGACCUUCCGAGACUUUGGAGGGAACCCUGCAGACACCUGCCGUUGGCCCCUGGGCUCCGGAGCUGCGAGGCACCAGCCUCCUCCCAUAGAGGACCCUUGCUAAAGCCGCGGUCAGGGCACGUCCUGUGCCAGGCUGGUGCGGGUGCCAGGCCUUGUGCUAUGCAGCCUCUAUCACAGCCGUAGAUGCUUCUGCCUGGUUCUGAAAUCCAGCCGCAGGCCAUGCAUGUGCGUGCAAGCGCGGCUGCAAACCCAAGGACACUCUGUGGACCUGAAAUUCAAUGCUCAUGUCAUUUCACAUGUUGUAAACUAUUUUCCUUCUUUGGAUGUCUUUUCCAACCUGUUAAAAGCGUAAAAGCCACUCUUAGUUGGCAGCCAGUCCAACAACAGGCAGUGAGCUGGGCUUGGCGGCAGCCACGGUUGGUGACCUCUGAGCCAGACGAGCCGGGAGAGCAGAGUGUGUGGGACGUAGACUGUGCUCCUGGGCAUCUGCUCCUGCUCCCUGAGGGCCGAGGGCACCUCAGGCCAGAGCGGGACAGGCACCCGGCUGGAGCCAGCGACCCUUCCCACUGAGCCCAGCUGCGUCCAGUCGGUGAGCAUCACCAGCUGCCCAGUCCACAGAGCCCCCUUUCCUUGACUUUAAAUAUGGAGCAUUUUAAAUGUUAAAGAGCUUGAUAAAAAACAGCUUGCGACAGAGUUGAAACAGCGUGGAGGGCGGCCACCACCGCAGCUCCUUUCUGUAAGGAGCUGGUUAUGAAGAGCAC
rnacentral:lncRNA from 1 species